GAAAUUGAGGGCGGUGACAAUCAGGGACUCUAAAUAGGUUGUCAUUAGCUCAGGUCAGUUACUGUGGCUAAACACAUUACGGACAAUCUUUUUUUCUUUUUUUUCCUAUUUGUUUUUACUGCAUUUUGGAUUUCAGAAUGGUGGAUAAAGAUUGCGAAUUUGCACAGCUAUAAAGCUUACUAAUUAAAGACUACAAACACAAAGAGAGCAAGCCUUGUGAUGACUGCACAAUAACGAGGAUUCAGAUACAACGUGGUCGCCACCUGACGCCCACCUCCACAAAAAGCCAUUCUCAAAAGGAGAGAGACAUUCAUAUCCAGAAGAGGGAGUCGGCUGUAGGGUAGAGAUGUUCGUCUGAAGAUUUCAAAGCCCACUGCUGAUUUAAGGUCAUUCACAUUCAGCCAUGAAGCUGCUCUGAAGACACAGGAACUGCAUAGCUCCCUACUGGGAAUGUCAAGGGCUGUGAAAGGUCUAAGGUUUUAUCCUACUUGCAACCAACAAGCUAUGCAGCCACAGUUUUAUGGAUGCUGUCAAAAGACAUGACACUCCUGGCAUGCAGUUUAGGCUGCUAACAACAGCAUGAGGGCAACCUGCUGUGGUGACCUAAGCUAUGACACCCCACCCCAAGUCCGGGAUGCAGCUAACUGAGCAAACUGCAUGAACUGGGAGGCGGCCGACCAUUGUUCACGCCUCUCCUUCGCCACUUCAAAUGCAUCAAAGGUCCAGAGAGAAGCUUCUUCUGGUCACCUUGAUCUUGUGAUGCAAGGCAGGUGGGAGCAAGGGCUCCACCUCUGCAGACACAGAGAUGACGGGGUCGCCAUGCCGGCGUUUUAGUCCCGGUUUCCUCUGCUCGAGUAGUUGGUGGCCUCCUGCCUGUUCCCUAACAUAACUUCACUUUCCUUACCUGCAAAACGAAAUUAGUAUUUCCUCCCUCACAAGGUGCUUGAUGCCCUUCCCCUUGCGUUUACUUUGCCUGAGAGACUAUAUCAUAUCUAUGAUUUUGUGAAUGGGGCAAAAGGAAUUGAGAGUGUCAGGGUAUACCUUAUAAAUAAGCCACUAAAGGUUACAUCCUCAUUCCACAAACUGACCUAAACAAUUUGGCUGUCACUAAUAGAUUAUUUUGGUCAGUUAUGGCAUUUAGAGGGAGAAGAGAGAGUAUAUAUAUAUGGGUGGGGUGUGUGUGUAUGCGUGUGUAUGUGUGUGUUUACAGUCAAAAUACCAAAAUAUAUCUAUGUAUAUAAAUAUAUUUGCUUUCUUUGUUUUUGUUACAAUAAACUUGUACAUACAAUUCUGACACACAUAUUUUCAUAUGUAGGCACAAAAAUAGUCAUACAAAAAAUACCACAAAAGGUAAUAACAAAGUGGAAGAAGACAUAGGAACAGAGAACAAACCAACACAUAGAAAAAGUAACAAACAUGGUAGAUACGAAUCCAGCUAUAUCAAUAAUCGCGUUAAACAUCAAUGGUCUUAAAUAUACUAGACAGUGGAAUAUUAUUCAGCAUUGAAAAGAAAUGACCUAUCAAGCCAUGAAAGACAAGGAGGAACCUUAAAUGCAUGUUACUGAGUGAAAGAAGCCAAUCUGAAAAGGCUGCAUCCUGCAGGAUUCUGACUCUAUGACAUUCUGGAAAAGGUAAAACUACUAAGACAGUGAAAAGAUCAGUAGCUGCCAGGGGUUACGGGAAGGGGAUGAUGAAUAAGUGGGGCACAGCAUUUUGAGGAGGUGAAACUACUCUGUAGGAUACUGUAACAGUAAAUCCAUGUCAUUAUAUGUUUGUACACACCCAUAGAACACCAGGAGGACAGCACCAAGAGGGAGCCCUAGUGUGAACUGUGGACUCUGGUUGGUAAUGAUGUGCCUGUGAAGCUUCAUUGUUUGCAGCAAAUGCAUCAGUGUGGUGGGGGAUGUUUCUAAAUUGAUAAUGAAGGACGCCAUAGGUGUAUGGGGGCAGAGAGUUUAUGAGAAAUCUGUACCUUUUGCUCAAUUUUACUGAACAUAAAACUGCUGAAGCCAUCAUUCUCAGCAAACUAACCCAGGAGCAGAAAACCAAACGCCGCAUGUUCUCACUCAUAAGUGGGAGUUGAACAAUGAGAACACAUGGACACAGGGAGGGGAACAUCGUCACACACCGGAGCCUGUCGCAGGGUGGGGAGCUGGGGGAGGGAGAGCAUUAAGACAAAUACCUAAUGCAUGUGGGGCUUAAAACCUAGAUGAUAGGUUGAUAGGUGCAGCAAACCACCAUGGCACAUGUAUACCUAUGUAACAAACCUGCACAUUCUGCACAUGUAUCCCAGAACUUAAAGUAAAAUAUAUUAAAAAAAUUAAAGUCUAUUUUAAAAAAAGAAAAACAAUCAGCUAACCUACUUUGGUAGCUCUGUUCUGCGCUGUCGGGUCUUCCAUCCUAGCGUGUGACACAGGAGGGUUUCGCUGGCAGGACCCGCCCACUGCACAUGCAGGUUCAGGUGACAGAGACCUCUGGAAAGAUGAGGCCCGUGGGAGCAGGGGGCUUCUUGUUGACACUGAAGGUCAGGCUUCAGGAAUGCCAGGGGCUCAUAAAAUCUUUUUCACUGAACAUUAUGCUGAGCAGGAUUCAUUUUACCAGUGAAAAAAUAUUUCUGACAUCCUUUGUGCUUUUUAACAAAGCCUGUGGUGUGGAUUUGCAUGAUUCUUAGAUUGCUGAGUAACCACUUCGGGAGGGUUCUUGAUUAGGGCACUAAAAAUGUUAACACAACACCCGUGGGAUGUAGAUUAAGGUCAACUUGUCCUUGUGCGUCUCUCCUAGUGUUGAUGGCAGAGUCUUAGUAUUUCAGCUGACGAAAUCUCUGCCCAUUCUCUUCCAAUGUUCCCUAAUAAGCUACAGGAGGACAGAGACAAAAGUUUGACUUCAUUAGUAACUUUUGGAAGUUGCCCAAUUUAGGAAAAAGAGUUAAUAAAUCAGGAAUUUUAUAAGAACUUUUUGUUAAAUCUGUAGUUAUUCAAAUCAGCCUCAGCAUGAUAAGACAACACUACAGGUUAUUAUAAAUAGUUGAAAAAGAAAAAUUAAAUUCCAACCAAACAAUUGAUCCUUAACUUUUUUUUUUUUUGAGA
rnacentral:lncRNA from 1 species